rnacentral:lncRNA from 1 species
UGGAGGUGUGCAUCUGAGGGCUUUGGAAGCAGACAGAGCUGGGAACCAGGCCCUGCUUCUCUGCCUGUCCACUCAGUGGCCUUGGGCAGUGACAACAGCAACCAUUCCCCCAGAGAUCCCAGUGUUCUGGGAUCUGAAACACUGGAUCACAGUGUUUCUAUUCUCCUACAAGGCCCACGCUGUAGGGGUCCUGUGAGUUGGCAUGAGUAACUCACGAAUGAGAAACUUGGGGCUCAGGGAGGUUGCCCGGCUAGAAAGAGGCAGGCGGAGUGCGGACUUGAACCCCAAUCCAUCAGACUCCAACAGUCACACUUGUAACCACUGUACUACUCUGCCUUCCUAGAUUGUAAAUGAUUGUCCUUCCUUUCUGCCUCCCUGGUUUCAGUGCUGUCACCAGCUGUGUGGGUCUAGAAAAAGUGACUUCCCUUUGAACUUUGUUUAUUUCAUCUGUAAAAAAUGGGUGAACAACAGUUGCCCAGGGCAAGGGUUAGGGUAAGGAGAAUUUUAGUAAGUAUUUGGCUUAAUGAAUACUCAUAACCACCCCUGCAAUAUCUGCAGACAACUUAGCCUGGGGGAUGGGGGUAGGAAGGGAUGGGUCUGAAGGGGAGAGAAACAUGCCAGAUUUUCCCAGGAAGCAGCUCAUGAACAGACCACAGGCCCUUCCUGGUGCUUGGGACCUGGACACCUCUAGACUGGCACCUUCCCCUGCCUUCUCAGCUCCAUGCCUGGACACUUCUAAUAGGAAAGAAGCUCAUGGCCACUCUCAGGGCCUGGAGUGGGGCUGAUGGGUCUCCCAACUCUGGGAAGGGGUGUCUUGGGCAGGUGAGGGUCCCGCUCCCAGGCCACUCCUUCCCGUCCCGUACUGCAGCCAGGCUCUUGCUGCCUGUUCUUAGUAGUUGGAAUAAUAGAUGAUUAUGAGGCUCUGGAGGGCAGCUGCUGAGAG